CCUACGGGUGGCAGCAGUGAGGAAUAUUGGUCAAUGGACGAGAGCCUGAACCAGCCACGCCGCGUGAAGGAUGACUGCCCUAUGGGUUGUAAACUUCUUUUAUAAAGGAAUAAAACGAGGCACGUGUGCCUUUUUGCAUGUACUUUAUGAAUACGGAUCGGCUAACUCCGUGCCCGCAGCCGCGGUAAUACGGAGGAUCCGAGCGUUAUCCGGAUUUAUUGGGUUUAAAGGGAGCGUAGAUGGGUUGUUAAGUCAGUUGUGAAAGUUUGCGGCUCAACCGUAAAAUUGCAAUUGAUACUGGCAGUCUUGAGUACAGUUGAGGUAGGCGGAAUUCGUGGUGUAGCGGUGAAAUGCUUAGAUAUCACGAAGAACCCCGAUGGCGAAGGCAGCUUACUAAACUGUGACUGACAUUGAGGCUCGAAAGUGUGGGUAGCAAACAGGAUUAGAUACCCCUGUAGUC
rnacentral:rRNA from 1 species